rnacentral:rRNA from 1 species
GACGAACGCUGGCGGCGUGCUUAACACAUGCAAGUCGAGCGAUGAAGCACCUUCGGGUGUGAAUUAGCGGCGAACGGGUGAGGAACACGUGAAGAAUCUGCCUUCAACUCUGGGAUAACUCCGGGAAACCGGGGCUAAUACCGGAUACGAGCCUUGAUCGCAUGAUCGGGGCUGGAAAGUUUUUCGGUUGAAGAUGACUUCGCGGCCUAUCAGCUUGUUGGUGAGGUAAUGGCUCACCAAGGCGACGACGGGUAGCCGGCCUGAGAGGGCGACCGGCCACACUGGGACUGAGACACGGCCCAGACUCCUACGGGAGGCAGCAGUGGGGAAUUUUGGACAAUGGGCGCAAGCCUGAUCCAGCAAUGCCGCGUGUGUGAAGAAGGCCUUCGGGUUGUAAAGCACUUUUGUUCGGGAAGAAAAGGUUCGUGCUAAUACCAUGGGCCGAUGACGGUACCGGAAGAAUAAGCACCGGCUAAC